rnacentral:rRNA from 1 species
GAAAGUAAGCAAGGGCGCAUGGCGGAUGCCUUGGCUCUCGGAGGCGAUGAAGGACGUGAUAAGCUGCGAUAAGCUUCGGGGAGGUGCAAAUAACCUUUGAUCCGAAGAUUUCCGAAUGGGACAACCCAAUAUCUUGAAGAGAUAUUAUCCAACUCAGUUGGAGGCUAACGCAGGGAACUGAAACAUCUUAGUACCUGCAGGAAAAGAAAAUAAUAAUGAUUCCCCCAGUAGUGGCGAGCGAACGGGGAAUAGCCCAAACCGGUUAUGUUACGGCAUGACCGGGGUAGUAGGACUACGGCAUUGCAUGAAAACAACAGAGAAGAACUUUCUGGAAAGAAAGACCAUAGAGCAUGAUAGUUGCGUAUUCGAAUGUUGUCGAAGCAUAGUAGUAUCCUGAGUAGCGCGGAGCACGAGGAAUUCUGCGUGAAUCAGCCGGGACCAUCCGGUAAGGCUAAAUACUCCCGAGAGACCGAUAGUGAACCAGUACCGUGAGGGAAAGGUGAAAAGCACUUCGAACAGAAGAGUGAAAUAGUUCCUGAAACCGUGCGCCUACAAGCGGUCGGAGCAGCGUAAGCUGUGACGGCGUGCCUUUUGCAUAAUGAACCUACGAGUUACCGUUGCCGGCAAGGUUAAGGGUCAUGAGACCUGUAGCCGAAGCGAAAGCGAGUCUGAACAGGGCGUAUAGUCGGUAGUGGUAGACGCGAAACCAAGUGAUCUACCCUUGAGCAGGUUGAAGUCCGGGUAACACCGGAUGGAGGACCGAACCAAUAAGCGUUGAAAAGCUUCUGGAUGACUUGAGGGUAGGGGUGAAAGGCUAAUCAAACUUGGAGAUAGCUCGUACUCCCCGAAAUGCAUUUAGGUGCAGCCUUGACCAUUACUAAUGUGAGGUAGAGCGACUGAUAAGAUGCGAGGGCUUCACCGCCUAUCAAGUCUUGAUAAACUCCGAAUGCGCAUUAGUUUGAGGUCAGGAGUGAGGGCAUGGGUGCUAAGGUCCGUGCCCGAGAGGAGAAGAAUCCAGACCACCUGCUAAGGUCCCGAAAUAACAGCUAAGUUAAACUAACGAAGUCAGAUUGCUAAGACAGCUAGGAUGUUGGCUUGGAAGCAGCCAUUCAUUUAAAGAGUGCGUAACAGCUCACUAGUCGAGGAGUUUGGCGUGGAUAAUAAUCGGGUAUUAAGCUGUUUACCGAAGCAGUGGGAUCAUAUAAUGAUCGGUAGGGGAGCAUUCCACUCUGCGUCGAAGGUGGGGCGUGAGUCCUGCUGGAGCGUGUGGAAAAGCAAAUGUAGGUAUAAGUAACGAUAAAGGGGGUGAGAAACCCCCUCGCCGCAAGACUCAGGUUUCCUGAUCAACGCUAAUCGGAUCAGGGUCAGUCGGGUCCUAAGGCUCAGCCGAACGGCGAGGCCGAUGGCAGAACCGGUUAAUAUUCCGGUACUACCCUUUGGGGUGACGUGGAGACGCAGUCGUGACAAUGCCGCCAGCUGACGGAAUAGCUGGUUAAAGGGUGUAGAAGUUGAUUGUGGCAGGCAAAUCCACCACAAGAUUCGAACCUGACAGUAUGGAGCGUCCUUCCGGACAAUCCAACAGUGCAUGUAAUCAUACUGCCAAGAAAAUCCGCUAAACAUAACCUUCAGGGUACCCGUACCGCAAACGGACACACGUAGUCGGGUUGAAUAUACUAAGGCGCUUGAGUGAUUCACGGUUAAGGAACUAGGCAAAUUAACCCUGUAACUUCGGGAAAAAGGGUCCCUACCCGUUAUCGGGAGGGCGCAGAGAAUCGGUCCAGGCAACUGUUUAACAAAAACACAGGGCUGUGCGAAGUCGAAAGACGCUGUAUACAGCCUGACACCUGCCCGGUGCUGGAAGGUUAAGAGGAGAUGUCAUCGCAAGAGAAGCAUUGAAUUGAAGCCCCAGUAAACGGCGGCCGUAACUAUAACGGUCCUAAGGUAGCGAAAUUCCUUGUCGGGUAAGUUCCGACCUGCACGAAUGGUGUAAUGAUCUGGACACUGUCUCAACCGUGAGCUCAGUGAAAUUGUAGUAUCGGUGAAGAUGCCGAUUACCCGCGAUGGGACGAAAAGACCCCGUGAACCUUUACUAUAGCUUAUCAUUGAAUUUGGGCACGUGAUGUGUAGGAUAGGUCGGAGGCUUUGAAGCAGGCACGCCAGUGUUUGUGGAGCCGCUGUUGAAAUACGACCCUUCAUUUGUUUGAGUUCUAACCCGUUGUCACGGGGACACUGAUUGGUGGGUAGUUUGACUGGGGUGGUCGCCUCCAAAAGUGUAACGGAGGCUNNNNNNNNNNUCGUAAUACGAGGACACUGAUUGGUGGGUAGUUUGACUGGGGUGGUCGCCUCCAAAAGUGUAACGGAGGCUUCUAAAGGUGCCCUCAGACCGAUUGGUAACCGGUCUCAGAGUGUAAUGGCAUAAGGGCGCUUGACUGGGAGACUAACAAGUCGAGCAGGUAGGAAACUAGAGCAUAGUGAUCCGGUGUUUCCGCAUGGAAGGGACAUCGCUCAAAGGAUAAAAGGUACUCCGGGGAUAACAGGCUGAUCCCUCCCAAGAGCUCAUAUCGACGGAGUGGUUUGGCACCUCGAUGUCGGCUCGUCACAUCCUGGGGCUGGAGAAGGUCCCAAGGGUUGGGCUGUUCGCCCAUUAAAGUGGCACGCGAGCUGGGUUCAGAACGUCGUGAGACAGUUCGGUCUCUAUCUAUCGUGGGCGUAUGAAAUUUGCGUGGCUCUGACACUAGUACGAGAGGACCGUGUUGGACAGACCUCUGGUUUACCGGUUGUGCCGCCAGGUGCAUUGCCGGGUAUCUAAGUCUGGAUCGGAUAAGUGCUGAAAGCAUCUAAGUACGAAGCCGGCCACAAGAUUAGAUUUCUCAGGGUCGUUGUAGACUACAACGUUGAUAGGAUGCAGGUGUAAAGAUGGAGACAUCAAAGCCGAGCAUUACUAAUUGCCCGUUCACUUUCUUUA